GAGUUUGAUCAUGGCUCAGAACGAACGCUGGCGGCGUGGAUAAGACAUGCAAGUCGAACGGGAGAAUUGCUAGCUUGCUAAUAAUUCUCUAGCGGCGCACGGGUGAGUAACACGUGAGUAACCUGCCCCGAGAGCGGGAUAGCCCUGGGAAACUGGGAUUAAUACCGCAUAGUAUCGAAAGAUUAAAGCAGCAAUGCGCUUGGGGAUGGGCUCGCGGCCUAUUAGUUAGUUGGUGAGGUAACGGCUCACCAAGGCGAUGACGGGUAGCCGGUCUGAGAGGAUGUCCGGCCACACUGGAACUGAGACACGGUCCAGACACCUACGGGUGGCAGCAGUCGAGAAUCAUUCACAAUGGGGGAAACCCUGAUGGUGCGACGCCGCGUGGGGGAAUGAAGGUCUUCGGAUUGUAAACCCCUGUCAUGUGGGAGCAAAUUAAAAAGAUAGUACCACAAGAGGAAGAGACGGCUAAACUCUGUGCCAGCAGCCGCAGU
rnacentral:rRNA from 1 species